rnacentral:sRNA from 1 species
AACCUAAACCAAGCAAUGUUUGGCAUGGUUUACAAAUCCACAAAGAGAAACAGCUCGUCAUGAGUACUUCUCUUUGUGGCCAAUGCUGGAAAACGGCGUUGGGUGACUCUCGGGCUGCC